UGCCGCUGGCAGCUCUGUUAACGUGUCGGGCGAGCGAGCUGUGUCGCAAAAUGUCGUGGCGGAACUUCUCGGCGCUUUUCAGACAAUAAGCUUUACGGAACUAGGCUUUGCCGAGCUGGGAGAUGUCGGCGGCCGGUUGGGCGGAACCCUGGGGUCCUCCCGGCGGCUUUGCGAAGCGGGUCCUGGUGACCGGCGGUGCUGGUUUCAUCGCAUCACAUAUGGUUGUCUCUUUAGUGGAAGAUUAUCCAAAUUACAUGAUCAUAAAUCUAGACAAGCUGGAUUACUGUGCAAGCUUGAAGAAUCUUGAAACCAUUUCUAACAAACAGAACUACAAAUUUAUACAGGGUGACAUAUGUGAUUCUCACUUUGUGAAACUGCUUUUUGAAACAGAGAAAAUAGAUAUAGUACUUCAUUUUGCUGCACAGACACAUGUAGAUCUUUCAUUCGUACGUGCCUUUGAGUUUACCUAUGUUAAUGUUUAUGGCACUCACGUUUUGGUAAGUGCUGCUCAUGAAGCCAGAGUGGAGAAAUUUAUUUAUGUCAGCACAGAUGAAGUAUAUGGUGGCAGUCUUGAUAAGGAAUUUGAUGAAUCUUCACCCAAACAACCUACAAAUCCUUACGCAUCAUCUAAAGCAGCUGCUGAAUGUUUUGUACAGUCUUACUGGGAACGAUAUAAGUUUCCAGUUGUUAUCACAAGAAGCAGUAAUGUUUAUGGACCACAUCAAUAUCCAGAAAAGGUUAUUCCAAAAUUUAUAUCUUUGCUACAGCACAACAGGAAAUGUUGCAUUCAUGGAUCAGGGCUUCAAACAAGAAACUUCCUUUAUGCUACUGAUGUUGUGGAAGCAUUUCUCACUGUCCUCAAAAAAGGGAAACCAGGUGAAAUUUAUAACAUUGGAACCAAUUUUGAAAUGUCGGUUAUCCAGCUUGCCAAAGAACUAAUACAACUGAUCAAAGAGACCAAUUCAGAGUCUGAAAUGGAAAAUUGGGUUGAUUAUGUUAAUGAUAGACCUACCAAUGACAUGAGAUAUCCAAUGAAGUCAGAAAAAAUACUUGGCUUAGGAUGGAGACCUAAAGUGCCUUGGAAAGAAGGAAUAAAGAAAACAAGUUAUAUCUCCACCUUCUGGGGUGAAUGUGAAUUACCAAAGCCAUCAGGGUGCUAGCCACCUUUGCUAAUUCUGCCUGAUCAGCGUGAUAGAUGUGUGCCAUUCUGCAGGACGUUCAGGAGACCCAAGUCUCCGAGAAGAGCAGAACUUACAUAGCCCUAAGGUGAAACUGCAAAUGCAGCCGGUUUCUGAUCGUUUAUGGUUGAGAUGGAAAAGAACACGUUCAGCAGAUCAGUAGCUGGAUAUUGUGUUCCAGGAGCCUUCUCAUCUGCUUCAGCAAAGAAGAUGCCACAUGAGCACAGCAGCUACCAUUGGAGGCUGCUUUUUCUGGCAAUACUGUGGAAGAUGAAUUGAAGGAAGACAAGAUUGAGUUCCUGCAGGGAUUGAAGUUAUGAAGGUGUUGCAGUAAAUCAGGUGGGUGAUGAUAAGGCCUAAGGCACAGCACUGCAAACAGGGAGAGUCUGGGACAGACGUGGGAAUGUUUCAGAUGUAAAAACUUACUGACUGAUGAUACAUUGGAGGUGCUGUUUCUUGACGUGGGUGGUGUUUUAAGGUUUUUAAUGUUGGAUUGGAAAGUGUGGAGGAUAGUGGAUUACAUUUAGGAGAUGUUGAGCUUGGGAGACGUUGAGCUUUAAGGGUCCAUGGGACAUGUUAAGUAGAGAUACCUGGUCAACAGUGAGGUAUGUGUAUCUGAAGCUCAGACUGGUGGUGAGGGCUCAAGAUGUAGAGAUAGGUAUUUGGGAGUUGAAUGGCUAUUAACAUCUGAAAGUGGAUUAAAUCCCCCCAAGCAGAGUAUAUGGAAUGACAGGGUUGAUGGUUGGUGGAAUGAUUUACGGACAAGCCAUGAGAAACACCAAUAUGUAAGUUGCAGGCAAGCAGCCCAAGGAAAUUAAGAAGGAAUGGUUAAAAAAAAUCACUCCCACUGCUUCACUUGACUAGCCUUAAAAAACAAUCCAUCAAUCAAAUUUGAAAUAAGAAAGAAGGAGUAGUCGGCCAGGCGUGGUGGCUCACGCCUGUAAUCCAAGCACUUUGGAGGCCAAGGCGGGCGGAUCACCUGAGAUUGGGAGUUCGAUAAAGAAGGAAUAGUCGGAGGAGAGGAAUAAGGGAAGAAAUAAUGCCACCAAAGCAAAACGAAAAGACGUUCAGUAACCAGCAGACGGCCAGCCAAAGUUCAGUAAGGCAAAACCAAAGUGUCCACUGGUUUUUGGCAACGUGGGGGCAAAUUUUCUAGUGUGAGAAGAGGGAGAGAGCCUCUGGAUAAUACAGAUGGAAUAGUAAUUAGGAAUCAAGGGAUAGAAAAAUGGAAUUUAGCCUUUCAAUGAGCUGAGAAGAGUCAGGAUGGGGCCAUCCCUAAGGAAGGCACAGGCUUAAGGAAAGGUCUUCAGAAGCUGCUGUAUUUUGUUUUUGGCAUGGAAUGGACUUCUGUAUGAUUAUAAGCUGAAGAGAUGAGCAAUAGAUGAAGAAAGAUCAAUGAUAUUCAGGAGUAUGUAAUUAAUGGAGUACAGUGUCCAUGGAAAUGGGCUCCCUAGGGAAGGACUCAUUUGGGGAUGGGGUUGGUCUCAUCUUUCUGGAUCAGUAAUGGCAGGAGUUGAGAUGAGAUUGGAUACAGUGACUUUUUGGGAGGGAUGUGAGGGAAUUCACCAUGGCCUCAAUUUUGCUCCUGAAAGUGGGGGAGGCAACAGGAGAUAAGUGAGUUUUGUAGUCUCAGAGGAGAAUGAGAGCAGCAGCUCUAUCACUGCCCAGUGAAGGUACAGCCACGUUCGAAGGCCAUAAAUUUAUACUCUUACAACUACUGAAAAAAUGCUGCAUUGACCAUCUCAGUGUACACCUGUGUGUACACAGGAGAGUGUAUUUCUGAAGGAUUAAUGCCUAGAUAUGGUAUAUCUGGGUCCAAAAGUACGUGCACUUAACAUUUGAACGAUAUAGAUGAAAUUCCUGCACUCUAGUCAGCCAUGGGUAUUAAAAGACCUUUAAUUUCUGUCAGUGGGAAAGAUGCAAAAAUUGUUUUAUUGCACUUCUAAAAUCUCUAGAAGCUUGAGUCUCUCUUUGACCUCACCUGCAGAUAUUGAAGUUGUGCCCUCCAUAUUACCAUCACACUGUACUCAUACAAUUUACCUGUUUAUAGGUCUGUGUGGUUCACUAGACGUGGAGCUCCUGUGGGUGUAAUCACCACCCUGUUCCCAGACCUAGAUAUUCAGCAUUUUUAUUCAUUUACAGGUUUUUUAAAGAGUAGGGCGUUUGCCACUGUCUGUCUCUCAAUUUCUCUCUCCCUCUCUCUCCUGCAUCCUCCCUCCUCACACACAUAUUUUCUCCUCCCUCCACGCCCCAGGACGAAUCUCUUGCAUUUUUACACCCCAUUUGACUGCAUAAAGCUCACUUUCUCCUUCAGAUCUCACACUGUAAGAAAGAGGUGAACCAGUUUUCCAAGUCUUCUGUCUGAUUGCACUUUUGUUUUGUUAUUGUUUAGAAAGACUGUUAAUUCUCACUUUGGUGCUUCUUUAUAGAAACUUCUAUCCUUGAUGAAUUAUUAUUUGAUCCUUCCUUAGCUUUAAUAGCAUUUUUAAUACUGUCGUGUUUUAUAGCUAAACUCACUAUGCUUUAAUUGCCAUACUCUUAAAAAUAAUGUUACCCAGUGAUAAACAAUUAUAUUUUACCAAUGUAACCUUUCUGUCCCAAAUUUAGGAAGUGGAAGCCCCCUUUUAUUAUCUCUACUUAAGUAAAUUUUGAAGAGCAAAAGAAGCAGUUCUAGUUCAUCUAUUUCCCCUGGCUCCAAACGACAGGCAGAUCUCAUUUUAUUGUGCUUCACAUUAUUGUGCUUUGCAGAUAAUUGUGUUUUUCAUACAUUGAAGAUUGGUGGCAACCGUGAGUCACGCAAGUCUAUGGCACCAUUUUUCCAACAGCAUGUGCUUACUUCAUAUUUCUGUCACACUUUGGCAAUUCUUAUAACAUUUCAAACUUUUUCAUUAUUAUAUCUAUUAUGGUAGUCUGUGAUCAGUGAUCUUGGGUGUUCCUAGAAUAAUUGUUUGGGGUACCACAUAUUAUGCCCGUAUAAUAUGGGCCAACUUAAUUGAUAAAUGUUGUGUUAUGUUCUGCUCUACUAAUGGGCCUUUCUCCCAUCUCUCUCCCCCUUUUUGGGCCUUCCUAUCCCCUGAGACAAUAUUGCAAUUAGUCCAGUUAAUAACACUACAAUGAGCUGGGCACAGUGGCUCACACCUGUAAUCUCAGCACUUUGGGAGGCCAAGGUGGGUGGAUCACCUGAGGUCAGGAGUUCCAGACCAGCCUGGCCAACAUGACAAAACCCCAUCUCUACUAAAAAUAUAAAAAUUAGCCGGGUGUGGUGACAGGCACCUGUAAUCCUAGCUACUCGGGAGGCUGAGGCAGGAUAAUUGCUUGAACCUGGGAGGCAGAGGUUGCAGUGAGCCAAGAUCGUGCCACUGCACUCCAGCCUGGGUGACAAGAGCGAAAACUCCAUCUCAAGAAAAAAAAAUUAGCUGGGUGUGGUGGCACACAUGUAAUUCCAGUUACUUGUGAGACUGAGGCAUGAGAAUUGCUUGAACCCAAGAGGCAGAGGUUACAGUGAGCCAAGAUCGUGCCACUGCACUCCAGCCUGGGUGGCAGCAAGACUCUGUCUCAAACAAACAAACAACAACAACAGCAAAACCCUACGAUGGCUUCUAAGUUUUCAAGUAAAGAGUCACACAUCUCUCACUUUAAAUCAAAACUAGAAUGAUUGAGCUUAGUGUGGAAGGCAUUUUAAAAGUCGACACAGACCAAAAGCUAAGCCUCUUGUACCAGUUAGCCAAGUUGUGAGUGCAAAGGAAAAGUUCUUGCAGGAAAUUAACAGAGAUGCUCUAGUGAACACAUGAAUGAUAGGAAAGUGAAAUAGCCGUAUUGCUAAUGUGAAGAAAGUUUGAGUUUUAUAGAUAGAGGAUCAAACCAUCCACAACAUUUCAUUUUUUUUUUCAGUUGGAGAUGGAGUUUGUUUCUGUUACCCAGGCUGGAGUGCAGUGGCACGAUCUCAGUUCACUGUAUCCUCUGCCUCCUGGGUUCAAGCAAUUCUCUUGUCUCAGCCUUCCAAGUAGUGGGGAUUACAGGCGUCUGGCACCACACUCGACUAAUUUUUGUAGUUUUGGUAGAGGCAGGGUUUUACCAUGUUGGCCAGGCUGAUCUGGAACUCCUGACCUCAAGUGAUCUGCCUGCCUCAGCCUCUCAGGUGCUGGAAUUACAGGUGUGAGCCACUGCUCCGACCCCAUAACAAUUCUUUAAGCCAAAACCUAAUCCAGAGCAAGGCCCAACUCUUCAGUCCUGUGAAAGCUGAGAGAGGUGAGGAAGCUGCAGAAGAAAAGUUGGAAGCUAGCAGAGGUUCAUGAGACUCAAAGAAAGAAACUGUUUCUGUAACAUAUAAGUGCAUGGUGAGCAGCAAGGGCUGAGGGAGAGGUUGCGGCACAUCAUCCAGAAGAUCUAGAUAAGGUCACUGAUGAGGGUCCAGUGAUGAGGGUACACUAAACCACAGAUUUUCAAUGUAGGCAAUAUAACCUUCUAUUAGAAGAUGUCAUCCAGGACUUUCAUAGUUAGAGAAGAGAAGUCAAUGCCUGACUUCAAAGUUUCAGAGGACUCUUUUAAUGGGGGCUAAUGUAGCUGGUGGCUAUAAGUUGAAGCCAAUAUUCAUUGAGCAUUCUGAAAAUCCUGAGGCCCUUAAGAAUUAUGCUAAAUCGGCCAAGUGUGGUGGCUCACGCCUGUAAUCCCAGCACUUUGGGAGGCUGAGGCGGGUGGAUCACGAGAUCAAGAGAUCGCGAUCAUCCUGGCCAACAUGGUGAAACCCCAUCUCUACUAAAAAAUACAAAAAUUAGCUGGGUGUGGUGGGGUGCGCCUGUAGUCCCACCUACUUGGGAGGCUGAGACAGGAGAAUUGCUUGAACCCAGGAGGCAGAAAUUGCAGUGAGCCAAGGUUGUGCCACUGUACUCCAGCCUGGGGCCUGGCGACAGAGCAAGACUCUGUCUCAAAAAAAAAAAAAAAGAAUUAUGCUAAAUCGGCCAGGCAUAGUGGCUCACGGCUGUAACCCCAGCACUUUGAGAGACUGAGGAGGGCAGAUCACCUGAGGACAGGAGUUUGAGACCAGCCUGACCAACAUGGAGAAACCCUGUAUCUACUAAAAAUACAAAAUUAGCUGGGUAUGGUGGCACAUGCCUGUAAUUCCAGCUACUCGGGAGGUGGAGGUUGCAGUGAGCCAAGAUUGCGCCAUUGCACUCCAGCCUGGGCAAGAAGAGCAAAACUAUGUCUAAAAGAAAAAUUAUGCUAAAUCUACACUGCCUGUAGUCUAAAAAUGAUACAACAAAGCCUAGAUGACUUGAAAGAUUUCUUUCAAAAUAUUACUGCUCAUUGACAAGGCACCUAGUUACCCAAGAGGUAUGAUAUAGAUUUACAAGGAUAUGAAUGUUUCAUGCAUGCCAACACAACUUCUAUUCUGUACCUCAUGGAUCAAGGAGUAAUUCUGACUUUCAAGUUUUAUUAUUUAAGAAAUAAGUUGUGUAUAGUUGCCAUAGGUAGUGAUUCCUCUGAUGGAUCUGGACAAAGGGUAGAAUUCACCAUUCCAAAUGCCAUUAAGAACAUAAGAAGGUCAGUCUAUAUUAACAGGAGUUUGAACGAAGUGGAUUCCAACCCUCAUGGAUGACUUUGAGGGGUUCAGCACCUCAGUGGAGGAAGGAAGUAACUGCGUGUGUGGUAGAAAUACCAGGAGAACCAGAUUUAGAAGUGGAGUCUGAUGAUGUGGCUGAAUUGCUGCAGUCUCACGAUCAAACUUCAACAGAGGAGUAGUUGCUUUUUACGGAUGAGCAAAAAAAGUGGCUUCCUGAGAUGGAGCCUACUCCUGGUGAAGAUGCUGUGAGUGAAAUGACAACAAAGGAUACAGACUAUUGCAUAAACUUGGUUGAUAAAACAGCAGCAGGGUUUGAGAGUUUUGACUCUAAUUUUGAAAGACGUUCCGUGGGUAAAUGCAAUCAAACGGCGUGGCUCGCUAUGGAGAAAUCUUUCGCAAAAGGAAAGAGUCAAUGCAGCAGACUUCAUCAUUGUCUUAUUUUACAACUACCACAACCACCUCAGUCUUCAGCAACCGCUGAUAAAUCAGCAGCCAUCAACAUCAAGGCCAGACCUUCUGCUAUGACUCACUAAAGCCUCAGAUGAUUGUUAGCAUUUUUUAGCAAUAAAAUAUUUUAAUUGAGUUACACGUACAUUGAGUUUGUACACAUAAUGCUAUUGCACACUUAAUAGACUACAAUAUCAUGUAAACAUAACAUAUGCACUGGGAAACUAAAAUAUUUCUGUGACUUGCUUUAUUGCAAUAUUCACCUUAUUGCAGUGGUCUGGAACUAUCUCCAAGGUAUCCUUGUUCUGGAAAGCUCUCCAAUUGCGUGUCUAAUAACGGUUCUAUACUUUGCCUAGUCCCUCAUCUAUUGACUUGAAAUGAAAACAUUGCUCUCUUAAUGAAGAUCGUUGUGAGAAUUAACUGUAGGGGUAGGAGAGGAGGGAAAGCAUAUUUUUUAGGUUGUAAGCCUGAAUGAGAAAUUGUACAUAAAAUAAGCCAGAUAAGCUCUUGUAAAACAUAUUUCUAUUUCCAGAAAAAUUUAAAAUGGCUCUGGAGCUCUGCCCUUCACAUUUGUUUAACUGAAUAAACUUAAGUGAAAAUAUAAAGCAAUGUUUCUUUGCUGAGAAGAAAAAUUUCUAAAGGAAAGUGGCCAUUAUAGCUAUUUGGAUAUUAGAUGUCAAAUGAAGACUCUAUAUGUUAAUAUUUAGAAAAUGCACAUUUCUCU